AACGAACGCUGGCGGCAGGCUUAACACAUGCAAGUCGAACGCACUCUUCGGAGUGAGUGGCAGACGGGUGAGUAACGCGUGGGAAUGUGCCUAUCGGUACGGAAUAGCUCCGGGAAACUGGAAUUAAUGCCGUAUACGCCCCCUGGGGGAAAGAUUUAUCGCCGAUAGAUCAGCCCGCGUUAGAUUAGCUAGUUGGUAGGGUAAAGGCCUACCAAGGCUACGAUCUAUAGCUGGUCUGAGAGGAUGAUCAGCCACACUGGGACUGAGACACGGCCCAGACUCCU
rnacentral:rRNA from 1 species